CCGGGCGCUGUGAGGAGAAAGGAGACGGCGGCGGGCGGCGAGAGGCGGGAGGGGGACGGACCCCGGGACUGAGGAGGAACACGCCACCUCGCCCUCGCCCUCUCCUGCGCGCUCCGGUCGCCCGCCCCACGCCUCUCGCCUCGCUGACCUCACGGACGAGCAGGAGGAGGCACCGGGCCCGAGCUGAGGCGGAGGUCCUCGCUGCAGCCCGGGCGCCCCAGCACGGAAGAUUCGCUGUGGAGGACCGCGCCCGGGAGGGAGGCGUCCGCGGCUCCGCGAGCGCCGGCUGCGCCAGACCAUGGCCUGAUGGAUGCCUGGUGUGGAUGAUGAGGGAAGAACGUGCCUCCCACACCCGAGAGGUGACCCCGGAGCAAGCCCGGGAUGCCCCAGCGACCAGGAACGAUGCGGCUGGCCUGCAUGUUCUCGUCCAUCCUGCUGUUUGGAGCCGCAGGCCUCCUCCUCUUCAUCAGCCUGCAGGACCCCACGGAGCUCGCCCCCCAGCAGGUGCCAGGUGAGCCCUCGCACUCGGCGCCACCGCCUGCUUGCCCCUGCUUUCCUGCCCGAGGUGCAGGCCUCCAACGCUGGCGCCAAGGCAGGGGUCCUGGUGCCCUGCCUCCCAGCAGGUGGAGGGGUCCUGGCCUCCUCCUGGCGGUCAUCAGCCUCAAUGUGGGAACACUGUCUGUUGUCAGACCACUAGCCCCAGGGUUCUGGCCUUUGACCUCUGACCUCUGGCCCACACACUCCUCUUGGGAAUAAUGAUCACCUGCCCGUCUCUUAGCUGGUGGUUGCCCUUGGUGAAACUCAGAUUUAAGGAGGAUUCUGUCAGAUUAUCUGGGACAUCAGAGGACAAAUAACUUCUCCCUGAGCCCAGGCCUCCAAAAUGGGACUCUGAUUCUCUGUCCAGCCCCAGGGACCCCCCUCAAAUCCAGCCCCUCUAGCCCGGGCAGGCAGGUUGAGCUAAUUCCUGGCUUUGGGAAGCUGAGGCAGCUCCUGCCAGCCCCUGACCUGCUGCCUCCUAUCCCAUUGGAGGGAAGCACCCUCCCUGACAUGCAGAGGUGGGAUGGCAGUGAUGGGGAGAGCAGGAAGGAUGGUUCUGGAGCCUCAGGCUGGCCUGGAUGUGGAGAGGGGAGCUUGGCAAGGCCCCUCUGGCUGGGAGAGCACAGCAGGGCUGGAGGGCGGCAGGUGUAUGGCUGAGACCAUGGAGCGCGCUGUUUUGGGAUGAAGGAAGGCAUCAUUGCUGGGCCAGAGCACCGGUGUGUCCCAGCAGUGGUCCUGGGGGCCAUGUUAGGGGAGGGGCCAUGAAGAUGCUCCAGAGCUUCAGGAUACGAACCAAACUGUAUGAAAGAGGCGUGGAGGCUUGGGGGAUGGGCGGAGGGAUUCCUGCACCAUCCCUGCCCACAGCCUGUGGCACAGGAGUGCUGGGCAGGGCAUGGGGCACCUGGCCCUCCCAGCCCCACCCUCAGCCAUGGCUCACACUCUGCAGGCAGCCUGCACCCACCCUGAGCUCAGAUUGAGGGCUCAUAGGCACCACAUGGAAAGGCAGAAGGAGCACGAGGAGGCCAGAGCUGAGGCCACAGGCCUGGCAGCUUGCCAUCAGAGGCCCUGGUGGGAGAGGCCGAUGAGUUGAUUCUUCCGUCCCAGAGAAGCAGCCAGGAGAUGGCAGGUGAGUCACUGGUGCUGACUCACGCCUGGACUGGACCCUCCUAGGGCUGGCUGUCAGAGCUGGGUCUGGCUGCUUCCUGGCUUCUGACGAAGCAAGGACCCGUGACCAAGCUGACUCCUUUGCUGAGACUUUGCAGCCUCCUGUGAGCCCCAGAGUGGCCGAUGACCCGGGGUCCACAGAACUGGGCUCCACGGGCAGUGCUGUCAGGGGGCACUGAGAGUUGAUCUCUGCAGUUGGGUGUAGGAUGGCACGAAGCUGCGGUGAGCCUCCCCCUGCAGACCCAGGUGAGGAGCACACUGGGAUCUGGAGCUGCCUCCUUCUGGCCAUAAGUGGAGCUGGACCACCCUCGCCACGUGCCAGGUGAGGGGCAACCUGGACGUUCUAUGGAAAUCACAUCAAACACAGUCAUAAAACUUUAAGUAAUGCUUACGUUACUUUCCCUGAGCAAAGUGUUCCUGACACAGGCUGUUUGUGUUGAUUUGUUACUAUUCAUUUAUUCUUUCCCUGUACUUCUCACAGCAGCCUAAUUGUGAUUCGGUACCAAGAAAGCAAUAUCAAAGUAAUUUUCCACAACAUUAGUUACAAUUUUCUUCUGAUCUUUCAAGUGAAACAAUCCCAUCCUGUUGGCUUCUCUGAGCACAUAAACCUUGAUUACAUUUAUCUGUUGGAAACCGGUGCUUACAAAGUGUAUGUAUCCAGUUGCAUGGGUGGGUGGCCCCAAGGGUCCCGGACAAGCCGAGAUUUCUACCCGUGGAUGGGAGGUGUAGACGAGGGAGGCUGCCCUGCUCUCUGGAUCCGGCAAGGCUGAUGGGGGGGAGGGGCUACUCUGACUUUCGCAGCGGCAGAAACUUCUUUGGGAAUGGAGCAUCUGGGACCUCCACUGGUGGCACUGACCAAGGUGGGAGGGGCGCGGGUGGGCAGGUGAAAAUCCAGAAACGAGCUUGAGAGGGCAGGCAGAGCCUUGAGUUAUUUGUGGUUCCUUGGGGUUGAGCUGUCCUUCAGAUUUCUCCCGUGCAGCAAUCAGGUGUUAGCAGCACCUGAACUUCUCAGAGACGUCAGCAAAUCUCACCUGGUUUUAUGCAUUAGAUACCAUCCUAUGGGGCUGCCAACUUUUGUAAACCUAGCAAUAUUUCCCAAAAUGUUUACCCUAUUUUCAAUCAGAUCUUUUGAAAACAAAUUGCUGUCAGUUAACCUACCUUCAUUCUAAGAUUAGAUUUUCUUGAGUAGUGGAGAAGUCACCUACCCAGCUCUUUUCCAAGUCUCCAAGAUUGCCAGGCCCUGAGGCCUCAGGAAACUCACUUCUUGCCCCAGGAGACUCCACUUGCCUCUUCCCUAAGUGGAAGACUCGGAGAGCAAGCCAGACAGGAAAUGGCACAUCCCAAGGUGUUGGCCCUGGGAGUGCAGGAGGCACCCUCCACGUGUGUGUUUGGGCAGCCUGACUUUUUAUAAGCUGCCUUUCUUUAUAAACUUUCUAUACUAGAGAGAUUGGAACACACACAAAAGUAAUUUAGGGGAGUUCCCUGGUGGCCUGGCAGAUUCAAGAUCCGGCAUUGCCACUGUUAUGGCGUGGGUUUGAUCCCUGGCCUGGGAACUCCUGCAUGCUGCAGUCAUGCCCCCCUCCCCAAGUAGAUUGGAAAAGUGCAAUGAACCCCAUGCACCCAACACCCACCACCCCCAAUGGCCCCAUCCACAGCCCCAUCCAUUUCUCUCAUUUCGAAGCAUAUACCAAAUGGCCUAUUAAUUCAGCCAUAAGCAUUUCAAUAUAUUUCUCAGUUUAAAAGAUAAGAACUCUUUUUAAAUAUGCAACAUUUCUUUGAUAUCAUCAAACGUCCAGUGUUCAAAUUUCUGGUUGUCCCACAAAUGUCAUAAUUAUCUUUAUUUCUAGUAUCACGUUAUCUAGAUAAGGCCCACAUGUUGCAGUUGGUGGAUGAGUUGUUGAACUUGCUCUCAGUCUGAGUCUCUGCACAUCUUUUUUUUUUUUUAAUUUUAAAAAUAAAUUUAUUGGAGUUCUCAUCCUGGCUCAUUGGAAACAAAUCUGACUAUUGUGGAAGGACGCAGGUUCGAUCCCUGG
rnacentral:lncRNA from 1 species